UACGUAGGGUGCGAGCGUUAAUCGGAAUUACUGGGCGUAAAGCGUGCGCAGGCGGCUUCGCAAGUCAGACGUGAAAGCCCCGGGCUUAACCUGGGAAUGGCGUUUGAAACUACGGAGCUGGAGUAUGGCAGAGGGGGGUGGAAUUCCACGUGUAGCGGUGAAAUGCGUAGAUAUGUGGAGGAACACCGAUGGCGAAGGCAGCCCCCUGGGUCAAGAUUGACGCUCAUGCACGAAAGCGUGGGGAGCAAACAGG
rnacentral:rRNA from 1 species